rnacentral:SRP_RNA from 1 species
UCGUGCUAAGCGGGGAGCUAGCGGUUCCCUGUACCCGCAAUCCGCUAUAGCGGGGCUGAAUUCCUCUUCUGAGGCCGUACGAUUUCAUGGCCUGCCCUGAGUAAGUGGUGUUGACAUCCGGGUUCUGCGCAACGGAAUCUUGUGAACCCUGUCAGGUCCGGAAGGAAGCAGCAGUAAGCAAGUCCUUCCGUGUGCCGCAGAGUUGCCUGGAUCGAGCAAACUGCUCAGGUAACGCAUGAGGUUUUGCGGUCGAGGAAAGGUGCACGG